UAGUCCACGCUGUAAACGAUGUGUGUUAGCUGUCGGGGUCUUUAGGCCUCGGUGGCGGAGAGAAAUCAUUAAACACACCGCCUGGGGAGUACGGUCGCAAGAUUAAAACUCAAAGGAAUUGACGGGACCCGCACAAGCGGUGGAGUAUGUUGUUUAAUUCGAAGCAACGCGAAGAACCUUACCCACACUUGACAUCCUCCCUGGGACUGGCAGAGACGCCGGUCUUCGGUUCGGCCGGGGGAGUGACAGGUGCUGCAUGGCUGUCGUCAGCUCGUGCCGUGAGAUGUUUGGUUAAGUCCAGCAACGAGCGCAACCCUUAUCGUCUGUUGCCAUCAUUAAGUUGGGCACUCUGACGAGACUGCCGGUGAUAAGCCGGAGGAAGGUGGGGACGACGUCAAGUCAUCAUGGCCCUUACGUGUGGGGCUACAAACGUACUACAAUGGCCGUGACAGUGGGGCA
rnacentral:rRNA from 1 species